rnacentral:tRNA from 1 species
UGGGGUAUAGCCAAGUUGGUAAGGCACCGGGUUUUGAUCCCGCUAUUCGUUGGUUCGAGUCCAGCUACCCCAGCCA